AUAUGGCCUUGAGUGCUUCCAGGGAUGGGGCAUCCACUGUUACUCUGGGCAGCCCGUGCCUCAGCACUAAUUGAAAGGCAGAGCCUUGGUGAAUGUGUUUAUGGCAGAGGCAGAGGCCUGAGGCUCACAGGGCAGUCAUGGCAGAGCCUGAGAAACAAAGUUUUGGUGGUUGGCAGUGUGCUUGGAAAAGAAAAAUACAUUCAGAGUGAAAAGCCGAUUAUUUAUUUAGAGGUCUUUAUUUAAGCAUUUCAGUACAGCCUUAUCUGUCCCACUGUAGAUUUGAGUCACAAAUUUGAAGACAAACGAAUGUUUAAAAAGAAAGAAAAAAACUUCAGUAAAAUGAAGUAGUAGAUUAAUUAUGGUCACUGAUUACACCAAAAAUAAACAUUAAACAUCAGGAAUUAUAGACUGUCCUAAGGCAAAGUAUGCAGUGAAUGUACACAAUUGCACUUCAGUCUGUAAAAGUUAUGACACACUCCGCUGCCCAAGCACUUAACAUGCUGGGCAAAGGGGAAUCCCCAUUAGUACCUCUGCAUUAAGAGCAGGAGAACAGCAGCUUCAGAACUAGGAAACUGCAGGGGAGUGCUCUGCCAUAUGCUCAGCUUAUUGGGUAAGUGACCAAUGGACCUAGAAGUUCCUACGUGAUUCUAUUCCACAUAAAUUAAUAUUAAACCAGAGUAACUGGUAUCUGUUUUGUGCUACUGCUUUAGCUAGAAAUUCUGUGCCUUUGAAAACAGCACAUUGUGUGUUGAGACAGAAAUGCUGAUCCAGUAUCUGAUUCCUCCAUCAGCAGAAAUCUUGCAGUGAGCCCCAGAUCUUCAGAAUUUUCAUUUCCCCAAAUUGGUAAAAAGUGGUAAUAAUGCCAAUUUCUCACUCCGCCCUUACUCUCAACCACAAACUCUGCUCCACAAUUCUUCACCAACCCCGAGCUUUUCAAACCAAAAGGGGUUUUGGUUUGAAAGUAGCCACUAGUCAGAGGAUGCCGCAUUAAAGCUGUUCCAGCCCCUUCCUCCUGCAGCACCUCUACCAUGAGAAACAGCACUGGUCCAGAAGGAGUGUCCAGGUAAGGAAAUACUUUUAAUAAGCUGUUUCCAUUUGCCUUGGCAUGGCUUUACUCCUUCGACUUCAUACUUCACACAGGGAAUGCUGGUGCCAUACACCUACACUCAUGGCUCACUCUGCCAGUGUCAGUGCCAAAACAGCCCCAUGACUGAAAUGCAAUUCCUGUGACUUGUCCUAAUGCUUCUUCAUUAAGAAGUAUCAAAUGAUGGAAAAACCAAUCACACAGGAAAGUGCAGGUUUUUCCUGGUGACUUGGAGAAAAACAAGGCUUGGUACAGAUAAAUCUAAAGGGAGAUUACUACAUAUGCAAGAAAAGGCGAGGCUGUUGUUCGGGAAGAGAAAGAUUUUGGUAACAGAGGGUCUGCACCAAACGAUGUUUCUGAUGUACUCAAAGUCUGGCAGUGCACAGCAUGAAGGCAGAAAUUCAUACAAACCAGUGAAAGCGACACUUAGCAAUAGAAAGAGGAAUGGGCAGACUAAUGGGCCACUUGGCAAAGCAAUCUGCCUUCAUUAGUAGCUUGUUUACUUCAGAAACAGAUGCAGAAAACUGUAGGGAACAGCCAGGGAAUAAGAAAUGUGUCUUUGUAGUCUCCCGUCUUAUUGCUUUUUAGAAAAACCAGCUCGUAUCUGUUAGAUGAAUGUGCUAAUUUAUUUGUGACAUUUAUUAGUAGCCAUACAAAGUACCUGCAGGUUUUCACCUACUGGUAAGCUUUCACCAGAACACAUUGAAGUUGGUUCUGCAGGCAGACUGCUCUCAUGCCGAUCUCUUUCUUCCCAUCCCAUUUCAGUCUAUAGUCCAGUGUCAGUAGAUGCACGCCCCUUUGCUGCAGCACAUAAUUCUGAAAUGAGCCCUGCUUUGAGCAGUAGGCUGGAUGGAUGACAUCACCAUGUCCUUUCCAACCACAGCUUUUCUGUGAUUGUUUAAAAGCAGUAAUAGGAACUGCCAAUGUAUCUUUACCUAACUGCCUUCUAUUUUGCAAAGCUUUGUCUUAUCCCUUCCUUUCUAAAAUAUAUGUGCAUCUAUAGGUGGAUCCUUCCUCUGAGAGGACAGUCAGUCUGCUGGAGGAAAUAGAAGCACUCAACCGCUUCCAUUCUCUAUGAAAUUAGGCUACCAUAGCAUCAUAGAAUGGCUCAGAUUGGAAAGGGGCCUCAAAGAUUACCAAGUUCUAACCUCCCUGUCACAGGCAGGGUUACCACGUGUGAGAUCAAGUUGCCCAGGGCUCCAUCCAACUUGGCCUUGAACUGGAUAGGGAUAACACAAAAAAUAUGCUCCCAAACUCCCUCGAGUAUAAAGAUGACUUCUUUUUACAUACUGAUCAGUGCUCAGAAGAUACUCCAUCAGCCCAGGCCAUUCCUCAGAGCACCUGCAGGUGCUAUUCAUUACCACCCUGCAUUUGAUACCACGUAUUCAGGUUGGCGAGUACCCAGCACAGCUCAAAAAAAUCAACGUAUACUUGUUAUAAACACCUCAGGGGAGGCCUGAUAUCUUGUCUGGCUAGCUGGAUGGAUGGCCAAACAGGAAUGAGCAGCAUUUGGCACCAAGCAGUGUUGAUGAGACAUGUCCAAAUCCUGGCUCUGCUGCUCAUGUUUGUCUGACACUUGAAACCAAAGCUGACUGUAGCCCUUCUUUGGCCCAGAAUAAGGCUGUGGUGUGGUUAACCCUUAGCUAGGACCACUUGCUAUUUCAGCAGGAGUCAGCUGUGCAGUGCAAACAGGUCAUAAUGGCAUUGCUGGAACAGCUCACUGAGUCUCUGUCAGGUGCUGCCUCUCUGCAAGUGCUCAGGAGAGGAUGCUUUCUGCUGCUUUUGCUACAAACAGGUUGUGCAGGGUGCAAAUUGCAGGUUAUCAAUUAAAAGUGCCUUUUGCCUCCAGUAAGCAAGGCAGAGACCAAGACUGAAAACUUUGAUCUCAAGUGAAGAUAGAAUUGGGGAAAUCUGGAGAAGAAAGAAGGUAUUAUAACUGUAAACCAGUGAUGGAUGUGCUCAUUGGCAACAGCGCCAAACACAAUAGAGAUUUACAAAUAUUGAGUCACAACCUCUUUAUACUCAUAAACUGAAUAUGCACAUUAUGUGCACCAUAUAAAUACACCAAGUGAUGGGACACAACCAAGGUACUGUCUAUACUUAGAGCAUUAAUGCUGUCAGUACAAUGCUGUGACCUGCAGGGUGUUCCCAAGCCUGUAGCCAGAAGAACACAUGGAAAUGACUGUGCUGUAACCAUGGGCCUGGAAGGGGCUAGAAAAAGAUGUAGAUGACACACUGGAAAAUGAGAAUCGGACUUUUGUUCUUGUCAGUUGGCUUUUUUCUUCUUUUUAAAUAAUUGUGCUGUUGGAAACAUGGAACAAAAUCUACAUGGGAAAAGCCUGACUUUUCUCUGCCCAUAUUUCCUCACAAUGGAGCAAUUUGGAGGCUACAUGAGAUGCACGACUGAUUUUGAGUGAGGGAGAACUGGGGCCGAAAGAGGUAUGUGGAAAGCUGGACCUGCUGUUGAUGUGUCACCAGCAGUUUGUAUCACAGCAACACCGAGCUGGCUCAGGGCUCUGGCCUUUUGUGCCCCAUUGGACACAGACUCCCACCAGAAAGAGAAAUGAAAUCUUUAAAGCUACUAUUGGUGACCAACUAUUUGAUGCCUGGUGGAAACAAAAAUUGCCAUAUGUUACUAAAAUAUUCUCUUCUUUCUCUAGCUUUCUGGCUUUGGGCAUUUUACAGCUGUCUUUAUGCCAGCAGGAGACUGUAGCUAGCUGAAAAAAAAGGCAGAGGGCAGGAAAAUCCUUGCAUAUGAAGAAAUAAACUCUACUGUCUCAUACAUCCAAAGAAUCUUGAACUGAAAGCUCUUUGAAACAGUUUCCUUUUCUUAGGAAAAAAACAAACAAAAAAAAAAAACAAAUAUUCAAAUUGAUUAUGGUCUCUGAAAUUAUAAAGUGGGCUGCUUUUUUUUCCCUCCUCCUACGUGCUCUUUUCAGGCACCGUUAUGCUGAAGGAAGCAUGGUGCCAGAGGCUGCAUGGUGCCAGAGGCUGCAUGGUCCACUGCGACUGUAGGGGCUUUGGGCCCAAUGGGUUCCCAUCUGUUCAACAGCACGUGGCUCCUGCUUGCUCUGUCUCUUUGGAGCUGAAGGAUCACAGGUAAUACCAGAGAGACCCUAAAGCCCAGCAAAGUGCUCUAUUGGGAUGCCAUUCGGCUACAUGGAAUGCCCCUGGCACCAGAACAUAACCACAGGCUAAUUACUUCUGAUAUUUCCCCCUUGUAUUUCACCUGUUUCUUGUGAAACAUGGGGGAGCUGUGGAUGGCUACAUGACAGAGGAAAACAACAGACUCCCUUUUUGUCUUUCUAAGAACACUGCGUUUGUUCCCCUGUGCAUUAACGUACAAAGAAGAUGGUGCGUGGCUCAGUCUCGGACUUUCACAGCUGCCAGGUAACUGAGUACUAGGUAACAAGAGUUGGGAUGAAACUGAUGUGUCAUAACUCAAGCCCAGAGACUUAACCGUGCAAAUGAAAUGAUGUGCAGAACUGCUGGGCCUAGAAACCCAAUGCUGAUCUGAAUAAAUAAACACAGUAAAAUGUGAUCAGCUGUAAGCAGCAAUUACGCACCAAAGGAGCAGUUGCAUCUUCCAUAACUGGCAACAGAAAAGAUGGACAAGACACUGAGUCAACCUAUGAACAGAUGGAUGUGUUCUCUUAUAGCACGUUGUAUCCGUGUUAUUGCAGGAAAAGAUAGCUGUGUCAGGUCUUCACGCCCAUCUCCCACUGGAGGCAAAACUGCGGCUGAAGGAAAAGUUGAUCUCGCCAUUUUUAUACUUCCCCCACGCUCCAAAUGGCACUAUGACAACCGUGCUGUUAUCCUCAGUGCCAUACUGCAUUGCCUGAAGGAAGAAACAAUUUGUCAGCGUCACAGUCUUGCUCAGAAAGAGAAAUAGCUCUCUGACUCCACAUGGGACAGCAUGCUCUGAGACUUCAUUGCUUCUUCCCAGCUCCAACACUGCAGGCUCUUGCACACCUCAGAGCUUUCCAUGGAUAUACCACUAUCCAAAACCUCCAAUAUGAAACUGGUGGUUUCUGUCUACGCUGAUUACAGCAGGUCUGCGGACCAAGAACUAAGCACAUUAAUUGAAAUGAUGUCCCUGUGUCCUUGCAAGGAUCUGGCACUUUGAUGCUUCAAGUAACCCUAGCAUUACCUGCUCAGUAACAACGUGGGCAGCUUCAGUGGGAUCGUGGCACUGGUUGAUGAAGUCGCAGAUCUCUUGACUGUUCACCAUGAAGUUAAUACCAUCUGUAGUAAGGACUAGGAAGCCGUCAUCUGCAUGGUGCAACUGCAAUAAAGGCAACGAAGCCACCGCACUUCCUAAUCCUGUCCGGAGGCACAAGAGAGAAAGCGAAGAUGAGUUACAGAUUCAGACCAUUCCCCCUGUCUGUAGCUGCAGUUUCUACCACUAUCUGCUGAUGUGAGAUGGAGUACCAUGGACCUGAGCUGAGAGGCUAUGUUUGAAGGGUUCCACAGAAGGGAUAGAAUUUAGAGGGCUGAGUGCUGCCCUGGGAACUACAGCACAUUUCUUCACAUCUUGGAUAUCUCUUGGAACUCUUGGAUGAGUCUUUGAACCAUGUGGUUACAGCUCAAUACCCAGUCCUAGCUCUGCUGGUUUUACUGCAAUGACGGUUUAUGUUCAUGUAGGACUUUAUAAAUCCCCAGUUCUUGAAAUGAAAAUAAAUGACUUAACUGGGGUUCUGCCACUUUUUCUAGCUUGGACUGUUAUGUUCAGCUCUAGCCUUUUUCCCAGGACCAACCUGGCAGCAGGAUAGCCUGACAGAGGCUGUUCCCCAGAAAGCCACAAUACGAGCCAACAGGUACCUUUCCUUCUCCUCCUUCCUUUCUGGUGUAUGGUCAAUGGUGAGUUUCAUGGCCUUUCCUUUUCGACACAGCAGGGCACGGCUGUCACCCACGCUUGCCACUACCAGCUCAAUACCAUCCCGCAGCAGGGCCACCGUUGCAGUGGUCCCAGAGUUCAUCAGAGUUGCUACAAAUGUCAUAUCAGAGAGAGAGGUUUUAACACUGCCUCAAAGCACAGGACCAUUUAUAACAGAACAACAGUGUCGACUGGUUAAGACAAAGACAACUUGUGCUCUACAUUACUAGUAUUAUUACUGCUGCGGUGACUUGGUUAACUGACUUAACUAACAAGUCCACAGUGAAUGUUCACCAUGGUGACACAGGAUGCACCUUGGUCUAUGUUACAGCUGUGAUACAGACUACAAGAUUCAAAACCACGUAGAUGCCAGUAGUCUGUUGAGCAUUCAGGUUCUUAACACUCACUGGACACUUCUUACUGCAAGUCAUCUCAACUAAUGUGACAAAGAGGAUGUGGGAACCUUCCAGUAGUCCAGGCUAGGAACCGCCGGACUCCUUCACCUGGGACAAAAUUAAGCAGAUCUCUCUUUCCACUGAAGCCCAGCAUAUAGUGUCCAGGGCCUCCAGUUCUAGAGCUGCUGACCAGGCUUGCUCCCCAGGCAGGGAACAUACAGAGAAGUACAUCACGCCACAUCUGUUGUAAUGGGAAUUAUUCCUUUGCUGUGUUCCUGCUGACCCUGUUGGAAUAGACGGCUAUACAACCUGGGACGAUUAGCAGCAACAUAUGAAGUCUGCUGCCGCCGCCCCGCCAUGUCCAUCGUAUACUGCAAAGUACAGGACAUCCUCAGUCAGCUGAGCGUAAUCAAAGCGGUCUUCAUUUUCCUUCCGCUUCCCAAUAUGACUGGCACAGCCCACUUUGCUCAGGCUGACUUUUGGAAUCGGCUUUCCAUACUUUAUGCUAGGUGGGAGGAGAAUAGGUUCAUCAAUGCGAUUGUCCCAGAUGCCAAAGGUGUCCCACGUGGCGGGCCGCCCGCUCCCGUCCGGAUCAAAGCGGGAUGCCCGGCGUUCGGAGGUGGAAAUGUAGCACUCGACUGUCAGACGCUUGUCGUCUUGCAAGAGGCGGGAUGUCAGCAGGGCUCUCCUUCGUACUUGAGAACCUCCGUUUCUUACCAAAUGGAUUAAAGCAGCUGUUGACAUAACUUGUCUUCGCAGAGAUUUGUAGGGAUAAAAGAGAUGCAGCAGCUGGAAUGUCUUCAAGAACAAAGAGAAAACUGAUCAAGAAUCAGCACAGGAAGGGGGACUAUCAGUUACAUCAUUCAGGAAACAAUUUCACAGUGGGAGCCCGCUAAUCGUGCAUAGCACAGCACUGCCUAGAAGAGGCUACAGAGCCUCUGCAUGACUCAUCGAGAAACAAUCCUGCACAGACCAGCCCACAGUUACAGUUCUGAUGAGGAGUGCUGCAGAUAAAUUGAGGCAAGGCAGCUCCACUGGCCACCUCCAUCGUGAUACCCCUAUUUUCAGAGGUUGCAAUGGAGCUAAUGAGAGUAAUAAUGACUUUGUUCUAUCUCAUCAAAACUAAGAAAAUGUUGAAAUAUGAGCAUUUACAGACGAACAGUCCACUCAGUCAAUGCCAAACACGCUGGGAAUCAAUAUUGUUGCACUGGAUGAAUUUGGCCUAGACACCAUGUGAAUGAACUGGCACGUUUCCACUAUGAGUGAUUUUCCAUUUUACUCCUGGACGUCUGCAACAUCUCACCCUUAUUACACUAUACUCGCAGGUAGUUAAUAGCUGAUUUUCUUCCUUGAGAUUUUUUUUUUGUUUGUUUCCUGUUGCCCUUGACUCGCAGCAACAGCACGUUCAUUUCCUCCUGCCAAGCACAGCUCAACAAAACUGAAAGCCUGCCAAUUCGCAAAACCUGCACUUCUGUCAGCUCGAGAGAUGAGGAAGAAACACCAGCUAUAUUUAGAGCUCCCAGAAUCCGUAGUGUGAAUCAGAAGAUACAUCCAGAGCUAAUUAACAGAUAAACAGAAAUUCUUGGCUCGGCAAGUCAAACUCGUAUUCGCUAGAUACUCUGUCCAUGGCCAGGGAUUCGAAGUGUUUCAGCACCAUCGGGCAGAUACAACUUCUAAAGAGAGGAAUGCUUCAGGAUAUGCCUGUUGUCAUUAGGGGAAAAAAGUGUCUUCCAGCAGAAGGCCCCUGGGAACUGAAAAAAAGAUGACGUGUGCUUUGCAUGGUGUGACAGCAGGAGCGGGGCGUUUGGCUGCAAAGAGAGGAGCAUAUGGCAGAAGAAGCGAAGAACAAACCCAUCCCAGCAACAGCACCAGCCAUUGGAAAGGAAACUUUGCUGUGAAAAUCAGAAGGAACACAUGGAACAGCAGGGUGCAGGGCAGGAAGUGGAAAGGCAAUUUUGCCUUUUCUGCGGUACUGUGGUCGUUGGCAACUGGAGAUGUACCCAAUCACUGAGCAGUAAGUGAAGGACCUUCCUUUUAUCAUGGAAGACGUUGUUAAAGCAUCAUCAGUUCUCAUUUUCAAAGACUAGCUGUCUACAUGGUGUGGAAUGAAGGAAUAUGUUAAAACUAUGAGCAACUGCAAAUAAAACUACCACACAGUCACUAACUGAGUGAAAGGCCGGUACCUGCUAUGGCAAAUAUGGACACAUCUGUGGCAUAAAAGAUCUGAUUUUUAUUUGAUUCCUCCAAGUCAAAAUACCAUUUCAUAUGAGAUUUCAUUUUUCAUUCUGUCUGGAUACAAUGCAAGAGGGCCAGAGAAAGAACAGCAGUCUACAAUCAAUUCUUUCUUGUUAGAGCAUUUCAAAGGCAGAAUUCGAUGAGCUGUACCUAGUGGGAGUAUUGUAACAAACUGUGUGCACAACCACUGCACUUGAGCAUUGGGUAAAUGGUUUCCUGAUUUAUAGUUUCACUUUUCUUCUUAGUCAUACAUUAUCAGUCUGAAAGAAGGUACGACAAAAGAUGUUUGAUUGCUCUCCAAUUAAUUAAUGUGCAUCCUUCAGUAAACGUUUAGUUAAUCUGCCUGCUUGAAGGCAGAAGGAGGGAGAUAGAAUAUUUCUGUUAAUGCUUGCUGGUCUGUGCCUGCUAUCCUGCAAAGAAUAAGAUCUUGUGGUAAAACAUUUUUGAGCUACUGAAUUAAUAUCUAACGGACAGAUUAUGACAGCACUUCUCUGUUUGAAUAAACAGCUAGAACACUUCAAUUUUUUUUUUUUUCCAGGGGCAGACCAAUUUUCAGCAUAUCCCAUUGAUUUAAUCAGUUCACUAGACUAUAUCAAAGGACAUAACCAGGCAGGUCAGGAGAUAGCUUGAAACUUAACUAUGCUCUUCUUUAUUUAAUUCACUUCUAUCACCUCCCCCAAGUUUCAGACUCUUCUUUCCUGCAGCUUACAUGAAUGCAAAAAAGCAGGAGAAAACACAGGACAAGACUGUUCCUCAGCCUAUGUGAGGUAUUGCUCCACUUCUCUUUUCUUCUAGUGCUUUGUUCUGUUAUUUCUGAUGUAACAGGUUUUGAAGCCUUGGAUAUUCAUAUCCUUAUCACAGCAAAAGACAAGAUCACAGCAAAAGAUAAGUAUGCUUGGGUCAAAGCACAAAGGCGCAAGGCAAAGCUGUAAGCAAACUAAAGCAGCAACUUAAGUGCUUGUAAAUUACCUGCAGUGUGCUGUGCUUCAUUAAUUUUUGCUCUUUACAUGCCUCUUCUCAUGUCUGGCUUUGAAGCACUGGUGGAAAGUCACAGUGCUGUAAUGAAUAGGACACAGUGCUCUACUUCAUGCACUGCGUGUGUGUCUUUCACAGGAGGGAGAAUUUUGCAAUCCCAUCACUGCGAUCACUGCAAUGAAGAAACAUAACUAUGUUGGAAUCUUGUGAAACGAGUAACAACACUGACAAGAAAAAAAAGAAGCUGAUUUUUUUUUUUUUCUAGUACUUAAAAUUUUUGGCAGACUAAAAUCUCAUUUUCUUUUGGUUUCUAAAACAACGCUGAUGUUCUUCUGUCUUUUCCCUCUAUUCAGGAUAGCACCUUCCAGUGGAACCACACCAGCCACCAAAGAACCUUAGCAAGAACCUCAUAUUAACACAGUGCAUAUAUAGCGUGCUUAAUUCUACUAUGAAUAGCAAUUCUGAGAAUAGGUGGGCACUAAAACAUCAUUGUUUCAUCAGUUCUUGUUUAGGCCUGAAUGUGGCAUAAAUAUGUCUGCUUCUGGAUAGAGAUAUAGUAAAGAAGUUAUGAACAAAUUACACCUGUAGACAGAAAAAUUCAAGUACAUAUCCCUAAGGACAAAGCCAUAGAGGCCCAGGUCUCUGUGUUACAGGAAUCACCUUCUGAAUUUGAAAUAGCUGAGGAAGUAGAAGACAUGGUAAUGCUAUUGUUAUGAGCUGGAGGAACCUCAGGAUGAUCAAGGUGGACCAAAUGUGUGAUUGUACAACUGUAGCUGAACUCCAGACCAGUCAAGAAAAAACACUCAAACUGUUUGUGCAUGAAAGGCUGCAUAGUGCCCUGGGAGUUCUGGCACGGAGACAGAUUAUUGAGAGCACUGGAACUACUAAAAAGAAAAAAGUCAACACAUGGAAUGAUUCAAAAUUUACAUUUGAAGUAGUGCAUGCCCGUAGAGUAAUACAGAAGGAAAGAGGAUUGCUAUCCUACCAGGGAUCACAAAUAAAGUAUGGACCCAUUAUUAUAGAAUUACUGGAAAGUGUACUGCCUCCUUAGAAAGUUGCCAUAAUGCAUUGUAAAGCACAUCAGUUCAAUAACACUCCAGUGAAUUACAGCAAUUGACUUGCCAAUAGAGCUGCUGAAGUAGCCAUGGAAGGAACUCUUAUUAUUUAUCGCGGACAAAUAUAAAUAAUUAGGAAAAGAAACCCCAGAUUACCAAGCUAAAGAUGAGAGACUGGCAACAUUAUGAAAAGUGGUUAAAGACGGCAAAGUGUGGUAGAUAACUCCAGAUAAAUAGACAAUUAUCCCUCAAUCUCUUAUGAAUAAACUGGCAGAAGAUUAUCACUGACACACUGGGGAAUAGAGGCAACCACCAGAAGUAUGAGACACCAAGUUUUAAGUGUGUGAAUGGCAGGAAUCAUAGUGUUGUGAAAAGAUGCGAUCUGCGUUUGAAAAACAAUCCCCAUCCACCUAAACAACCUCCACUCAGAACAGCUAAGAAAGGAAAGCAUCCAGGAGAUUAUCAGCAGAUGGAUUAUUGUGGAUUACUGCGGUGAUGUACGUUGUACGUGCACGCUUACCGUUGGAUGGACCUGUACACUGGUACCAACCUGGAGAUUGGGUGUACCCGACAACAUAGCUAGAUGAAGAGAAGUGGAGAGGACCCUUCCAGAUCUAAUUCACCACCCACGCAGCAGUCAGACUCAAUGGAGUCAGCCUAUGUAUUCAUUACAGUAGAGUCAAGCCACCUGCAACAUCAGGAUAGACUGUCAAGAAAGAAGGACCAUUGCAUUUGCAAUUAACUCAGGCUGUGUAAGACUAGGUUCUAUGUUUCUUAUAAUGAUAAGUAAUGCAUUUAUUUAAAGUGAGGGAAUUAAUAUGAAAGUGAAAAUCUGGUUUUAACAUUAAUACAAGGGUUUGGUGGGAUGUGCAAUGUCACUAGCAUCUGCAUAGUGGUAAUUAUAAGAGGUAGAGGACUCUGUAGAAGAUGUAUUAAAAGGUAUUUUGAAAGAAAUAUGUGAAAGUAAUUAGAAGAACUAACUACUUCCCAAGGGGUCAAUUGAUACCUGGCAAUUAAUUAACCACAGGCCCCUUACAAGGACCCCAUACUAACACAGAGCAUGCAUAAUAUUAGAUUUUAAUAUAGCAAUUCUUGAAAUAGGCAGGCACUCCAUGGAAAAUGUAUGAAUAUUCACACAUGUUCAGUAUAUAUAAUCUGCAUGCUUUUAGCUCCUGGCUAUGCACGUUAGGUGGAUCCCGUGCAUCUGGUCAUAGUAACAAAUGCCUGCUUUUUAAUGCUACAUUAGCAUUAAUGAGUUUUAUUCCUGAUUUCAGUGACAGAACUGGUGUUAUUAAUUGCCUUCCCCUUCCCCCUUCCCUCCCCCCCCCAAACAAGUAUGAGGGCAAGACAUUACAUGGAUAUAUAAGGCAUCUUUAGAUAUGCACUGAGACAACUCAGACACUAGGCAAAACUAUCAUCUCUGGAUACUGUCUGUGUCUCCCAUUUUAUUUAAGUAUCUUUCAGCUGCUGCCAUGAACGCAGGAUCUCUGUUUUCAGCUGGCAGGAGCUGACACAGCAGAAAUAGCUGUCAAAUAUGAUAGAGUUUCUCCCUUCUAAUGCUCCUUCUUGCACCAUUCUUAGAACAGUUUAGAGUACCAAUAGAAGAAAUGAAGACAAACAGGCAUCAAAGAUACUGGGCAAGGUCAGUCAGCACCGAGAAGAGCCAUCCAUCCUUCUAUAUCUGAUGCAAAGUGCCACAUCUUAGCUCUGUGUUCUUUUUCAAAAACUACUGGAAUUUGAAGAGGUUUUAAAACACCAGUACAUUAUUUGAAUAAUUGUGCUUAUAUCCAGGGUAGGGUUCAAGGCAUGUAUGCCACCCAAAACAACUGGUCUGUCCCAGAGAAAGAGAAAUAGUACACUUCUGAAACAGGGAAGAAAAGUCUGACUUCCACUAACUUCAGUCUUCUUUUGCAAGUGGAACUUCCCACUGAGAAUCUAAACAUGCAUCAGAUGUCUAGAAACAGUAAAUCAUUUAAGGUUUUAACCGGGAAAAUAGUUCAGCAACCCUUAGGAACUAUUACAUUUUCACAUUAUUGCCAUUAAAAAAUCCACAUCUUCUCAGUGUUUGUAUAAGCAAAGUGGUUUGCCUCAGGUGAAUGCAGCUCCGCUGAAGAAUGUGGUACCCACUCUGUGCUGGUGCUCUCUGUUCCAAGGCAUGCAACUCUGCCAAUACUGCAGAAAUUUGAGAAUGCUUUUCUCUGAGGCAGUAGUGUUUAAAAUUUCACCCCAUCCAUUAGAUUGCUCCAGAAUUAGCCUUGUAAGUACAUCCGAGUUCUAUGGCAUAGUGUUGCAGUAAAAGCCAGUCUCUGAGAUGAGGGACUCUGACAGUUUAUUUAUAGUUCAGAAGGUCAAACAGUUGCCUUAAUUGGAAAACAUCGCUCACCAGUCUCUGAGCAUAUUGAUGUACUUUGCAUUCGAUGCCAUUAGUUACUUGUGUGAGUUUCUAAUAUCACCUUUGUUAAUAAGAUACAUUCUCCAUAAUGGGCUGCCUGCAGGUUCCAAGAGCCAUUUAUAUGCUAAGUUUGACAAGUUUGAUGAUGCUAAACCCAUGCUGAAAGCAAUAGCUGUCAGAACUGUACCUGGGUGCGAGGCAGAAGUCUGUGACCUUCAAACUGUUUUGGGAUGGGAUGUGCUAAAUCCCAGUUGUAUGGUAUGUGACCAGGCAAAGGUAUUUCUUCAAAUUUGUCUUGAAUUCCUGCCAGAAAAGUUGUAUAUAAACCACACAGCAAAAGUUUGAUGGACUUGGCUUGUAUAGAAGGAAGGUGAAAUAAAGUCCCAGAAUCACAGAAUUGCAGGGGUUGGAAGGGACCUCAAGAGAUCAUUGAAUGCAGCCCCCUGCCAAAGCAGGUGCCCUGCAACAGGUCACACAGGUUGGUGUCCUUACAAGUCUUGAAUAUCUCCAGAGAAGGAGAAGUCAAAGUGCUCCCAACAAGCGCAAAUUAAAGCAUACAAUAGCAAACACACUGAGUGAUUUGACCUAAGGAUCUCUCAUCCAUACAGCUGCAGACUAGAAAAAAAGAAAUCCUCUCCUCAAAGCAAAGGAAACUAUCUUAUUAAGUCUAAAAAUUCCCUCUUGGUUUUACUUCUGCUGUUCCCAACCUCUCCCUUGCCUACAGUUGUUGCUGAAAAUGACCUUGUCAAAUUUUACAUGUAGCAUGGCCCAGUAGACACAUGAUCUUAACCAUAGGAAGAAGGCAGAAUGUUAAUAUUCAUUGUUUGAAUUUAUGUAGGAAAGGAGCAAGAAAUAGGAUUAAGAUGGAGGUGGCUAAUGCUAGGACUCCUCCAAGUUUGUCUGGAAUUGAGCUCAGGAUGACAUACACAAAUAGGAAUCACCCCUCUGGUUUGAUGUGAGGGGGUGGGAUUAGUGAGGUUGCUGAAGUUUUAUGGGUCCCUUAAGAGUUUAGGGGAGAAUAAGGCUAAUAUUAGGGAGGGAUUUAUAAAGGCAUGGGUUGAGACGUGAAGGAAAGCUAGCCGUGAGAGAUCAAGUCCAAUGAAGGCUAUUACUAAGCUUAGCUGGCGGAAGGUGGAGAAAGGAAUGAUUUUUUUUUAUGUUGUUUUGAGUGAGGGCACCUGCUGGCAGAGGGCUGAGAGUGCACCUAAACACGGGCAUAUGGCUAGGGCUGUUUUGUUAGUGGUUGGAAGGGGAUGAGUAUGAAUAAGCAAGAAGAUUCUGGUUACUACUAUUGCAGUAGAAUGGAAACUAGGAUUUACACUUCUGUUGCUGCAAGGAGUCAAGGGUCAGCCAAAUUGGGCUGACCUUCCUGUAGCAGCUAGAAUUAAGCCCAGGAGGGGGAGAGUACGUGUUUGGUGGGGUAGAUUGUUUGUUGAGUUUCUCAAGCAUUUAGUGUGGAGACUAGUGAUGCCAUACUCAAGAUUAAACCAAUAUCUCACAUGAAUCUAACUCCUCCCUACCAUUUUGCCUAUCCAAAACAAAUUAUGAAUGAAUACAUGGCCAUAUCCUCAUCCUUACAUGAGGCCUACAACCCCUCCAAGACUCAAAGCCACAUGGUGACUACUUGCCAUUUGACAAACACGGUACUGCCCUCUACAACAAACCUAAAAGAGGAACUAACCAUUGUAAUUGUGCUGUUUCACUGAUUUGCCUUCACAAUUGUUCUAACUGGAAUUUCAGCCCUGCUGAGUGCCACUUAUGCUUUAUAUAUAUUACUAGUAACCCAAUGAAGCACCCAACCAGCCCACAUCACAUCCAUCCAAAACUCUUUCAUUUAUCAUAAGCUUCAUAAAUCCCCCUAACCUUAAAAAUAGACCUACACUCAGUACUUUUUUUUCCAAUUCCGUAAUUUGUAACUUGAUCUAUCCUGGAAUUUGUAACAUGAUGCAUAGCCUCAGAACCAAAUAUCAAAUUCUUCACCUGUCUUCCUUACUUCCUAAUUGCCAUACUAAUGCUAACCAUUGCAAACAGCAUAUACCUUCUUUUGUAAGCUGAGAGAAAUUAUGUCAUUCCUAUUUAUUGGCUAAUGACAACAACAAGCCAAAGCUAACACAGCAGCAUUACAAGUUGUAAUCUACUACCAGAUUGGAGAUAUAUAAGGCAAUGUAGUGUAACACAAAAUAAAGAUAAGCAUGUGAUUUUUUAACAUUUGAAUUCAGUACUGUGCAGUACGAAAGUAUAAAGGAUCUAAGUAGAGUAAAUCAAUUUAAGAAGGUAAGCGGUUUUAGUUAGUUUAAAACGGCAGGCUGCAGUAUUUAUUUGAUAAAAAGUUAUUUGAAGUAUUUGACAGAAAGUCAUAGAAAUAAAAAAGCUAGGCAUAACUGUUUUUAAAACAGCGUAACUAUAUAUAAUGGGAAGAAGGGAGACUGAGAUCGUACUGUUAACGUUUUCAUGAAAAAACAAAAUGCCAAAAUUAAACAAGCAAACUCUAGUGGAGGAAAUAGAAACCCUAUUUUCUGAAGACUGUGCAGUGAGACAUAAUGGUUGUAUAACUUCUAAAAGUUAUAAUUUAGUGAUGCAGGCUCAGAAUAAGAGAAUUCAAUAGCAAAAUGAGUCAACACUUAAACCUAAAUUGUAAUUUAUAAGAGACUCUCUUCUCACACAAAUCAAAUUUGGAAGCAGAAUAAUGUCUUCUGAUAGCGAGGCAGUAUUGCUGAAUGUGCUGGGUGGCAGUUUGCAAUACACAGUCAUUUGAAAUUACAUUUAUAAAAUAAAUGUUCAAUUCAGAACAA